AUUGGACGCUGGCGGCAGGCCUAACACAUGCAAGUCGAGCGGGGUUUUCGGACCUAGCGGCGGACGGGUGAGUAAUGCGUAGGAAGCUACCCGAUAGAGGGGGAUACCAGUUGGAAACGACUGUUAAUACCGCAUAAUGUCUACGGACCAAAGUGUGGGACCUUCGGGCCACAUGCUAUCGGAUGCGCCUACGUGGGAUUAGCUAGUUGGUGGGGUAAUGGCUCACCAAGGCGACGAUCCCUAGCUGGUUUGAGAGGAUGAUCAGCCACACUGGAACUGAGACACGGUCCAGACUCCUACGGGAGGCAGCAGUGGGGAAUAUUGGACAAUGGGCGCAAGCCUGAUCCAGCCAUGCCGCGUGUGUGAAGAAGGCCUUCGGGUUGUAAAGCACUUUCAGUAGGGAGGAAGGGUGUUGUGUUAAUAGCUGCAACCUUUGACGUUACUCGCAGAAGAAGCACCGGCUAACUCUGUGCCAGCCGCCGCCGUAAAAC
rnacentral:rRNA from 1 species